ensembl:lncRNA
CUUGGUUUUGGUCCUGUAUAGGAUAGUGCAUGUCACUGGUUGCUGCGGGUUUUGUUUUGAACAUUGAUUAUUCUCUCGUCAUGGACUCUGUGCCUGAGUCAACACAAUUUAGACACUAACUUGUCUAAAUUGUGUUUCUUAGGGUAUCAACAAUUUAGAAUUUUAUAAUAUGUGCUUACUCCUUGUAACUUUUAUCAACUGAUAUGUAAUGUUGGCUGAAUCGUGUUUCUUUGUGUAACGUUAUCAACAUCAUGUGGAUAAUGUUACUCUUGGCAGUAAAUUUAGACUAGCUCAACCUGGACAUGUUGCAAUUCUGUUACUGAGGUGUCUGUGUAUCCACAUUGUUCUUAGCUAGCCUGUGUGGGUCUUAUGCUGCUGUUUUUUUUUACUUAUUUUCUAAACAUUGCUUUCAGGUGAUAAUGUUUUCUGUAGUUUUGUUCCCGGAGGAGGAAGACUGGCAGCAGUUCCACGCCAGCUAUGUGAAUUACAUGUUGAUCUUGUAAUUGCUGCAAUGUUUCACCAUAUUUACCUGUUCACCAACUUUUUUAAAAAGAUUUUUAGGAUGGAGUAAGCACAGCACUCCAAGGCACCAGAGAGGUACUUCACGCCACCAUGUAGAAGAUGGUUUAAAUAGAACAUUUGGAGAAGAUGAAGUGCUGACUGAAGAGAAGGUUGGGCUGAGGGCACAGCUGGCUCUACAAUCAGCUUCUUAUAAACGUCUGACUGAAAAGAAUGUCAAGCCGAGGGCACAGCUGGCUCUACAAUCAGGAGCCAUAAGGAAGAAUCUUUCCAACUGGGAUGCCACUGAUGAGGCUGUCCAGAACCAGGUCCCCAGGUACCAGAAAGGGGCAGCUGACCGUGCAGGUGGGAGACGUUGUGGCGGUACAAGGGACCUGCCAUGAAUAUGAAUGACAUCUCCAGCACAACCAAUAUUGCUGCUAAGCUGCAGUACUGUUUUUGUUUUUACUGCUGCUAUGUAUAAUGUUAUAUAUGAUUGCAUUAUCCUCUUAAUAUAUUUAUAGCUCUGUGAAUGUUCUUAUUUCUGACUGUAGUUGUAGUGUUAUGCCACCAUUCAUAAGUUUAUUGCACUGAUGUAUCUGAUAUUCAAUAACUAUUGAUUGCUGCUAGUUUGUACUUAUGUAUAUUACUGCCGUUCUAGUCCUUGUUUAUUUGUUAUUUUCAGAUUCUGUCAUUUUACUAUCUGUUACUGGACAUGUUUUCUUGCACUACUUGAUUUUGUAAAAUUUUUAUUUCAAUUCAUUUGCCUGUUUUUUGUAUGCUGGCUAU